AUUGAACGCUGGCGGCAUGCCUUACACAUGCAAGUCGAACGGUAACGGGCCUUCGGGUGCCGACGAGUGGCGAACGGGUGCGUAAUACAUCGGAACGUGCCCGAUCGUGGGGGAUAACGAGGCGAAAGCUUUGCUAAUACCGCAUACGAUCUACGGAUGAAAGCAGGGGACCGCAAGGCCUUGCGCGGACGGAGCGGCCGGUGGCAGAUUAGGUAGUUGGUGGGAUAAAAGCUUACCAAGCCGACGAUCUGUAGCUGGUCUGAGAGGAUGAUCAGCCACACUGGGACUGAGACACGGCCCAGACUCCUACGGGAGGCAGCAGUGGGGAAUUUUGGACAAUGGGCGCAAGCCUGAUCCAGCCAUGCCGCGUGCAGGAUGAAGGCCUUCGGGUUGUAAACUGCUUUUGUACGGAACGAAAAGCCUUCUUUUAAUACAGGAGGGUCAUGACGGUACCGUAAGAAUAAGCACCGGCUAACUACGUG
rnacentral:rRNA from 1 species